AUGGUUAGACGUUCCCCGUCAGCGACCCACACCGGUGAGGGGACAGGGGCCACAAGAGCUGGAAGGGCAGCCGGGGAGAGAGAGAGUGCUGCUGCUUUCUUUUCUCCUUGCUCGGUGCCUACGAGCAAAAGCAACACUGCAGCGACACAACACGAGAGCAGCUCUAAGGAAACGCUCCUGCGAACAAGCRUAAAUGCCUCGAAAAACGUGCUGCUGCCGGAGAGCCGAGAGGCCCUGGGUGAGGCUCAGAAAGRAGCAGGCAACCCACUCAGAAGUAGCAGUGAAAACCUGGAUCCCAGUGAUUUCCAAUGCAUGGUUUUAGACCCUUGAAAUACUGGAGGCGACUCUUCAGCAAGAGGACCAAAUCCCUGCCCUAAAUACAGCGAUAGUCUUUGGGGUGUCUCGACCACGCUCUCAUAGUCGCUUUGCCUUCAUAAAGGAUGCGUGUUUGUCAGGCUCGAAAGACUCCGCGCCUCCAGAAGCAUCAUCCAGUGACGCCAGGCAAUGGGAAAGGUGAGAACCAUUGCUUUGAAUUGUAAAAUCACCCUAUCCAUAAUUCAUG
rnacentral:lncRNA from 1 species